ACAGGUACACAGGUGAUAGCUUGGGCAUUGCGCUCAAGAGGAAAGUCCGGGCUGCUGUAGGACACGGUUCCAUCUAACGGAUGGCCAUGGUAACAUGAGGGACAGUGCAACAGAGAGUAGACCGCCUUCUAUUUUUAUAGUAGGUGAGGGUGAAACGGUGGGGUAAGAGCCCACCAGUCUUGUAGGCAACUAUAAGAGCUAUGUAAACCCAACCGCGCAGCAAGAAACAGAUGGUUAGCGUCCUACAUCGCUAUUGUUUCGCUAGAGGCUCACAGUGAUGUGAGCAGUAGAUUAAUUAUCACUAAUCCAGAACCCGGCUUAUUGUGUGCCUAACUCG
rnacentral:RNase_P_RNA from 1 species